UUAACUCAAAUUUGUAUGGAGCUGGAACGUUUGCCUACGUUUACCGCUAGGGGCGCUGUUCCAACUUCAUACAAAUUUAAGUUA
rnacentral:pre_miRNA from 1 species